rnacentral:rRNA from 1 species
UACGAAGGGGGCUAGCGUUGCUCGGAAUUACUGGGCGUAAAGCGCACGUAGGCGGCUUUCUAAGUCGGGGGUGAAAUCCUGGAGCUCAACUCCAGAACUGCCUUCGAUACUGGAAAGCUCGAGUCCGGGAGAGGUGAGUGGAACUGCGAGUGUAGAGGUGAAAUUCGUAGAUAUUCGCAAGAACACCAGUGGCGAAGGCGGCUCACUGGCCCGGUACUGACGCUGAGGUGACGAAAGCGUGGGGAGCAAACAGG